AACGAACGCUGGCGGCAUGCCUAACACAUGCAAGUCGAACGAGACCUUCGGGUCUAGUGGCGCACGGGUGCGUAACGCGUGGGAACCUGCCCUUAGGUUCGGAAUAACUCCCCGAAAGGGGUGCUAAUACCGGAUAAUGUCUUCGGACCAAAGAUUUAUCGCCCUUGGCUGGGCCCGGGUUGGAUUAGCUAGUUGGUAGGGUAAAAGCCUACCAAGGCGACGAUCCAUAGAUGGUUUGAGAGGAUGAUCAGCCACACUGGGACUGAGACACGGCCCAGACUCCUACGAGAGGCAGCAGUGGGGAAUAUUGGACAAUGGGCGAAAGCCUGAUCCAGCAAUGCCGCGUGAGUGAUGAAGGCCUUAGGGUUGUAAAGCUCUUUUACCCGGGAUGAUAAUGACAGUACCGGGAGAAUAAGCUCCGGCUAACUACGUG
rnacentral:rRNA from 1 species